GAACGGGUGAGUAACGUGGGCAAUCUGCCCUUCACUCUGGGACAACCCUGGAAACGGGUAAUACCGGAUAACACUUCCACUCUGAGGAGGUUAAAAGUCCGGCGGUGAAGGAUGAGCCCGCGGCCUAUCAGCUUGUUGGUGAGGUAAUGGCUCACCAGGCGACGACGGGUAGCCGGCCUGAGAGGGCGACCGGCCACACUGGGACUGAGACACGGCCCAGACUCCUACGGGAGGCAGCAGUGGGGAAUAUUGCACAAUGGGCGAAAGCCUGAUGCAGCGACGCCGCGUGAGGGAUGACGGCCUUCGGGUUGUAAACCUCUUUCAGCAGGGAAGAAGGACGGUACCUGCAGAAGAAGCGCCGGCU
rnacentral:rRNA from 1 species